GCUCGCAUAGCUCAGUUGGGCAGAGCACUUGGCUUACAUCCAAGGUGUCGGUGGUUCGAAUCCAUCUGCGGGUACAA
rnacentral:tRNA from 1 species